rnacentral:rRNA from 1 species
UACGAAGGGGCUAGCGUUGCUCGGAAUCACUGGCGUAAAGCGCACGUAGGCGGGUCUUUAAGUCAGGGGUGAAUCCUGGAGCUCAACUCCAGACUGCCUUUGAUACUGAGGAUCUCGAGUCCGGGAGAGGUGAGUGGAACUCCGAGUGUAGAGGUGAAAUUCGUAGAUAUUCGGAAGAACACCAGUGGCGAAGGCGGCUCACUGGCCCGGUACUGACGCUGACUGUGCG